AUCAUAGUUUUCCUUCCACUUAACAUUUUCUCUUGAAAUGAAAUAAAAAUAACACCCGUCAUAUUGCAAUUGGAAGAGAACACCCAAGGAACGGCAGCAGAGUAUCCCUCUUCUCCGAGCAGCGUCUUGGAUUCUCUAUGUUACCUCUUCGGGUGGGUCUUUGGUUGUGGUGCAUUCAGCGUUUGACAAUCAUAAAGGUUCAAUUUCCGUGGGUCUUGGGUUGGGCGAUCUUGGUGAAUUUGGUUGAGGUUUCAGCCAAGGUGGUGGUUCUGGUUCUUCGGCCGGUUUGGAGGACUGGGUCAUGCUCGUUUUGUCGCGACGAAGAAGCAAGAUAUUUGAAGUGGCUACAUUGAAAAGCUUCAUGGAUCCCUGUGGAUAACUUGAAGUCGAGAAUCCUGGUGUAGAUAGAGAAGUCCUCGCACAAUCCCCAAAACAAUGUCAAGACGCUUUGGCCAUGUCAGCAGUGCACUCCCAUUUUGUUCUGCAUUAGCCUAAGAGCCUGACAAGAUUCCUAUGUUGAAGUUUGGCAAUGAGAACAACUUCAUUCUUGAACUCUUUGAGACCUUGUCUUGAAUCCUUUGACAGCCUCUUCACAGCAAUAUUUUGUCCGUUAGAUAGAUGUCCCUGCAAAUCAUCACAUAAAGAUGCAUGUUUCCUUUUGAAUUUGCAUAAUAUCUCCAUACAAUUUGUAACCUGUAUAACAUAUUCAGAAUUCUUUUUACCUUAUAAACAGGACCAAAUCCACCAGCCCCAAUCACAUUUUCUUGAGAGAAUUUGUUUGUUGCAGUGGCAACCGUUGUAAAAUCAAAUAAAGGCAUAGGAAGACCGCUGAAUCGAACUCCAUUCCAAGGUCCAGUGCGAAAUUUUUUCAUCGUUCCCCUUUUUAUAAAUAUUUGAGGCAACCCCUUGUAAUCAAAUUUGUAUGUAGAGUCUCCUGGAGAUGCAAUAUCUGAG